AAUCCGAUAAGGGGCUUUUGAGGUUU
rnacentral:tRNA from 9 species